rnacentral:rRNA from 1 species
UACGGAGGAUGCGAGCGUUAUCCGGAUUUAUUGGGUUUAAAGGGUGCGUAGGCGGGCUUUUAAGUCAGCGGUAAAAAUUCGGGGCUCAACCCCGUCCGGCCGUUGAAACUGGGGGUCUUGAGUGGGCGAGAAGAAGGCGGAAUGCGUGGUGUAGCGGUGAAAUGCAUAGAUAUCACGCAGAACCCCGAUUGCGAAGGCAGCCUUCCGGCGCCCUACCGACGCUGAGGCACGAAAGUGCGGGGAUCGAACAGG